UCAUAAUAUGUUUUUUCCUUGAGUCAGUGUAGUGAGCAGCCUUCCAGCUCUAAUAGGGUUAACAGGAAGUGAAACCCUGUCCUUGACUGACAGGCUGGCAACCCUAGGGCUUGACCACCAGUCAACCAGGUGGAUGGGACAUGAGGGGUCCUGGGGCUACUGGGAAGAAGGAGGAGGAAGUAAGAGUCCCCAGGGAGAGAGGAAUAUGAAGGAUGACUGUGCUCUCUCUCUCUCUCUAGAAACCCUAAAAAGAAGGCUAAAAUCCUGAGAUCUCAUAUUCGACUCUGAAACUUGGAACACUGUCCCCAGAUGGUCAGGUGGAAAGGUCGUUCCUUUGGGAACAUGCACCUCAGGAUGUCAGUGUAUCCUGCAUCUCAUGUGCUUGCACUCAUGGUGACCAAUAAAAGAAUUUUGUUUUAAA